rnacentral:rRNA from 1 species
GAUGAACGCUGGCGGUAUGCUUAACACAUGCAAGUCGAACGGUCUCUUCGGAGAUAGUGGCGGACGGGUGAGGAACACGUGAGAAUCUGCCUUUAGGUCGGGGACAACAUUUGGAAACGAAUGCUAAUACCGGAUGAGCUGAAAAGUAAAAGAUUUAUCGCCUAAAGAGGAGCUCGCGUCUGAUUAGCUAGGUGGUGGGGUAAAAGCCUACCAUGGCGACGAUCAGUAGCUGGUCUGAGAGGAUGAGCAGCCACAAUGGGACUGAGACACGGCCCAGACUCCUACGGGAGGAGGCAGUGGGGAAUUAUCCGAAAUGGGCGAAAGCCUGACGGAGCAAUACCGCGGGAGGGGGGAAGGCUCUUGGGUUGUAAACCUCAAAACUUAGGGAAGAAGAAAGUGACGGUACCUGGGGAAUAAGGACCGGCUAACUACGUGCCAGCAGCCGCCGUAAAAC